GUUUUAAUAGUUUAAGUAAAGCGCUAUUUUGUGGAGAUAGAGAUAUAUAAGUAUUUAAAACA
rnacentral:tRNA from 1 species